AGGGACGGCGACGAUGGCAUGGUUGGGACGAGAAACGAGGGAAGGGAACGAGACGUCGGACCGAAGCAUCGCGCCGCGAGAGGUCGGUCAUGUUCCGCCGAGUGACGUCACGAAGCAAUGGCGCCGCCUCCGUGGUGAGCGAGCUGGCCGAUUGGUCGAGAGAAAUGAUGGCAGGCGCGCUUGCCAAUCGAUUGCCCGCGGUGCGUGCGAGGCGCACAGUACAUCGGUCGGAUAUGGUCCCCACUCUACCCCAAGGUAGAGAUCGAGUAGAGGGGAGUGUUUCACAAGUGGUAGAAGGGGGCGGCCGCCUUCGGCAGGAAGUGAGCUUCGACCCCAAGGCGUACGAUACAAAUGCUCAGACAGUUUCGUUCUCUCGUGGAGAGUGGAAGUUAUUUCACUUCUUCUGCGUCGGGCUGUUAUUCUUCGUUGUCGCUGACGUCCACCGCGGUGGAAAGAGGUGAGCGGGAAAGGAGCAAUAAAAGGAAUAAGCGCGUGAUCCGUCUUUAGAGUCGUGUCGUUGCUUAAACCUGCCGCGCGCGCAAUUCCUCUCGCCGUUGAGGGAAGGGUGCCUACGCGCGUGAAAAGGGUUCUCGAAGGCAGAAGCAGUGUUUGUGAACUCGGUGAACUUUUCUAGCUCACUGAUUUUCGCAUUGAUUUGUCUUCUACCCAUGUUUCUUGUGUCGCGGGCAUCGGGGGUUUAGGUAGCGCAUCGUCUCAUUUUAAAGGAGACCGCCGCUACGGAGCACUCGCGUUUAGUUGGAGCGUCGCUGCCGCAUUGUCGUGACGCGAUUCGUCGAGCGUACCGUGGCCCGCAGCCAGUCAGAGCUGGCGAAUGGUACGGAGUGGUGAGGAGACUAAAUAGUGAGGGGAAGAAAGUGACAGUGUAGUCAGUUCUCGGCUGGACUCUGAAUCUUACGGAUCGCUUUUGAAUUUCUCUCUGGUGAUUUCCGAAAGAGAGGAAAGAAAAAAACGAUCCACGCACGAGCGCGCGUAUCGCAAAAAAUCAAUUUUGUCAAUGGUAUGACGAUCGCAAAUGGUAUUCCAUACCGAGACUGUGCCUACAUGGGGUUGGUUACCUCGUAAAUGACAUUCUUGAUUGGAUUUGUGCGCGGCGCAAGACAGAGAUUUGUAAUAACUCGUGAUCCAUCGUAGCACGCGGGAUGAUCAUUCGUGGUUGCCACGUCGUUCGAUUGAUACGCUCGCGCGAUCGUGUGAUCGAUUAAUUGUACACCGGUGACUGGAAAAAAACGUGCGAACGCGUUUGGCGAUCCAGUCUCCAGACGGAGUGUCUUAGUAGUGAGAUUAUUAUCGGUGACUUGGGGAAUUCGCGGUCAAUGUCGUCGUUUCGCGCGCGCAAAGGUGAAACGUUAGGGAAGUGACCGGGUGGUGAUCGCGAUUUGGACGACAAAAAUUAUUCUCAUAGACAUAAGAUCGCCGGCGAUCGGUUAAUAUUCUCGGCGUCGAACAGUACCAGAAAAGAGCAGCAAACUGUACGGGCACAGGCAGGAAGAAAUGCACACGAUGGAGACGGACAUGAAGGGUGGCAAUCUGCACGGUCAGAUGCCACCGCAUCCGCACCAGGGUGUUUCGCCGAUGGGUCAUCACACGGGGAUGUCCGCUUAUGGCUCUCUAGGCUCGCUCGGAGUAGUUCAUAGUUCGGGGCUAUCGGGAAGUCCACCCGGCACAGGCGUCUUGAGUCUUGGUCUUCAACAUCAUCAUCAGGCUCCUCAACAUCAUUACGCAUCCAUGCAGGCGGCCGCCGUCGCUGCCGCGGCUCAACAGCAACAGCAACAAAGUAUGCACGCAAUGACGGCUCAACAGAGCGCUCAGCAACAGCAGCCGCAGCAUCACCCGCAUCAACAGCAGCAGCAGCAGCAGCAAUCGCAAUCGCAGCAACAUCAUCAAGCUAAUAAUCAUAGCAACCCUAACAAUCCGAACAACCCUAGCAACUCGUCUAACGCCAAGAAUAACAAUAUGGACCGCGUCAAGAGACCUAUGAAUGCAUUUAUGGUAUGGUCCCGCGGACAGCGACGCAAGAUGGCUCAAGAGAAUCCCAAGAUGCACAAUUCCGAAAUAUCGAAGCGUCUCGGCGCCGAGUGGAAACUUCUUAGCGAGGCGGAGAAGCGUCCGUUCAUCGACGAGGCGAAGCGAUUGCGCGCGGUGCAUAUGAAGGAGCACCCCGAUUACAAGUACAGGCCGCGUCGCAAGACAAAGACGCUGAUAAAGAAGGACAAGUUCCAGCUGAGCGGUGGCGUCGGCGGUGUCGGCGGGAUGCUCGGCGUGGAUCAACGGCAAGUCGCCACCAGCGGUGGGCCGCAGCAACCCCAAUUGCCGCGCGAUGUCUACCAGAUGCCCAACGGCUAUAUGCCUAACGGUUACAUGAUGCACGAUCCUACAGCCGCGUAUCAGCAACACGUCGCGUACGGCAGUCAUAUGGGAGGUGCUGCGGCAGCCGCCGCCGCUGCCUCGGCUGUGGGCUACCCCAGGUACGACUCCAUGGGCCAUCACAUGGGCGGCGGCAGUCCCAGUCCUAUUAACAGCUAUAUGAAUGGUUACGGUGGAUAUGGCGGUACCGUUCCCGGUGGUUCACCGUCACCGUAUCACCAGGCUCAAUCGGGUUCUCAGAUGUCCAGUCAUAGUCCUAGUGGCAGCAGUAUAAAAUCCGAACCGACGAGCCCGGCGAGCGGCGGUGGCAUACAUACGCCAACGCCGACGGCCGUCCCGGCGUCAACGGGCGCGGCUGGGCCCACUGGUCAGGUCGUCAAACGGGAGUACAUGGGCCAACAGCAGAACCAACAAGCGGUGCAGCAGCAGGGCAGCGAUCUCAGGCAGAUGAUCUCGAUGUACCUGCCGCAGGGCGUUGAGCAAGGAGUCGUGCAACACGGAAGCGUCUACUCGCCGGGUCCGUCGCCCGAUUCUUUGGCGCAACAUCACGCUACCAUGCAGCCAAUCCCACACAUGUCAGAUAGCGAGCGUAAGAUGUUGAACCCGGAAACUGGCUGCUACUCCGAAUCCGUACGAGCAUGGGAAUGGAACGCGACGGGCAACGUACGCGUGCAGGAAUCCUGGCCGACGUGAACGACUCUCGCCGCGACAAUGUCGAACCAUUCCACCACCGAAGGAUCAGGCUCCUUGAUUGUUUCGCGCGCUACGAGCCGGGCCAUUGUGUGCAUCGAAACGCUGCCGUGCGGAGCUGCCCCAGCCCAGAACCAGUUAUGAACAUAUGAUUAAGCUCGUUUUAAUAAGUUUUUAUGUAGACCUUACGCGUAAGGAUGUAUAAUAAAAAUAAGUGUUGAAUAAACGAGAUACGUUGAGACAAAUGGUGAUCCCAUUGCGAUAAGAAUAUAUAUCUAGUGCAAAUUGAACCAUCUUCCGCGUUUAUCGUUACUACGAUGUACGUAACUCGAAUACACUAUUAUAAUUAAUAGAGAUUAAAUGGAUGUAGAGGCAUAGCGAAAGGCUAUAUAUUGAGUCUCGAACGAGAAGUGCGAAGGAUGAUGCUCCGAGUAAACUAACCAAGUUAGCCUCUUAACCUCUCUAAUUACAAUCGGACGGAUAAAGUUACGAUCUCUCCGAGAUUCGCGAUUAUCGAAUUAUCGAGAGAAUUCGAAUUAUUCGUCGGAUGCUAAAAUAAAUUUGUACGGUGAGUCGAAGGACUUUCUCGAGAAGAUUACUGCUUCUCGAUAGAGAUCCGCCAUGUUUCAAAUAAGGACGAAUGGCCGACCGCGUUUAAUUUUCUGAUACGAGCGACGAGGGUCGACGUACGAAGGAAGGGCGGAUCUUGGCUCGUCUUCUCUGCCAACGUCGUCACCGUGGAGAUGAGAGUAUGGCUGCUCCGUCAGAAACUUGCGUGUAAUUUUAAGAAUAUUUUACGGUGAAAUGAGACAAUAAAGAAUAUCCAACGAAGAUUUACAAUAUCCUAUUAAUAGUUUUUCUUUAUCGUCAAAUUUAGCAUCUUCGCGAAGGCAGUGAGAUGAACUUUAUUUGUAACCCAAUUUGUAUCCUACAAUUUAAAAAUUGUUAUUCGUGUUUGUUGAAAUAUCAAUCAAAACGUAUCGCGAUGAUAGCUUUCUGUUUUCUUGUUAAAUAUCACAGAAAAACAACAUGUUAUUUUAUAGAUUUCUAAGCCGGGCUGUCCGACAGUUCGGUCUUUGAAAUAUUUUUAGAGAUAUUCAGAAUGAAGAAAUAUUUUUAGAGAUAUUCAGAAUUUAGAACGCAUGAAAAUAGCAUUAUUUCAUCUCGCGAUAAAGUCGACACGCAUCCCCCGUGUUUUCGAUAGAGCCAAGUAGGCCACUCGCGACCUGAUAAAAGCGAACACUCGGUAUAUAAGAAAGGAAGAUAUUGGCCCGUCUUUUCCAUCCAGUAUUCGUCACCGUGGAGACGACUGGAGAGUCAUGGGUGUUCUCCUGAAUCCUCGAUCUCGAAGAAUCUGUCUCGUACAUGGACGAGCGAACCCUCUCCGGAAUCUAACCCACCCUUGCCGUUGCGGAGGAUCGCAAGGACGAGGGUUGCCGGCGAGGUCUCGCCUGAUUGGCGGCCGUGGACUAUCGACCAACCCGAGACCAGCCCUUUGUUUUAGCCACCACCCUUGGCAGUAUCGAGGGUAUCCAACUUAAAGUCGGGUCAUUGAACGCUCAUGAGAUUUUGAUCGGUCUGUUUUGUAAAA